rnacentral:rRNA from 1 species
AACGAACGCUGGCGGCAGGCCUAACACAUGCAAGUCGAGCGAGGACUUCGGUUCUAGCGGCGGACGGGUGAGUAACGCGUGGGAAUGUGCCCUUCUCUACGGAAUAGCCCUGGGAAACUGGGAGUAAUACCGUAUACGCCCUUUUGGGGAAAGAUUUAUCGGAGAAGGAUCAGCCCGCGUUGGAUUAGGUAGUUGGUGGGGUAAUGGCCUACCAAGCCGACGAUCCAUAGCUGGUUUGAGAGGAUGAUCAGCCACACUGGGACUGAGACACGGCCCAGACUCCUACGGAGGGAAGCGGUGGGGAAUCUAGACAAUGGGGGCAACCCUGAUCUAGCCAUGCCGCGUGAGUGAUGAAGGCCUUAGGGUUGUAAAGCUCUUUCAGCUGGGAAGAUAAUGACGGUACCAGCAGAAGAAGCCCCGGCUAACUCCGUG